rnacentral:rRNA from 1 species
AACCAAUGGCCCCCUGAACGCGCAUUGCACUCUUGGGACUUCCUGAGAGUAUGUCUGCUUCAGCGCUU